UCAGCUCCUUCUCCAAUUAACCUGACCCGCGCCCCCGACCACAGCUCCUUCUCCGACCUGACCCGGGGCCCCGACCUCAGCUCAGAGCCUGGAGCUCAUUCUUCGUCCUGACCUCGAGCUCAUUCUCCGACCUAAGCCACCUCAAGCCUUUUCUCCGACCACCACCAGCGUCCGGUUUCGAAUUUGAUUUCUUCUAGUUGAGGGAUUCAAGUUGAUUUUGCUUCCGCCCGAAACCCUAUUCAACUCUUCCCGUGAUUUGGUAAUUUCUUUCCGAUUGGCAAAUCUCUCUUUUCUAACUUUGUUUCCGACUUUCCAGGUUGCCCAAGCGAAGAAGCCCAUCAUUGCUCCUCCUCCCAAAAGCCAGUGGAUUUUGAUUUAUGAUGCGAUUGCUUUUAAAAUUGUUGCAAUAUGGGGACCAAGAGGGAUUUCAGCACUGCGAUUCUCGAACAGAAGAAGGCAGUAAAUCUCCUUGUCGUCGAUGAAGCCAUCAACGAUGACAACUCCGUCGUCACUGUCCACCCUGAGACCAUGGAGAAGCUCUAGCUAGCUCUUUAGGGGCGACACAAUCCUCAUCAAGGAUGUCUCAAAGAGUGUGACAAAACUUGCCGUGAGAGAAUCCCGAGCUCAGGAUUUGAGGAAUGAAAUUCUCACCUCUAAAAAGUGACAAGGUUCUGAGCAAGAAGCCCCCUACUCCUCACCUGCGAGUUGUGGCUGAUUAUCUGUUGGAUGCAACAACUAAAGAAGCCAACAAGAGAGUUAAGCUUGCGAGAGCUGCAAUGGGUAACAACAACCCUGGUUGCCGUGGAUUCAAGAAAGAUAAGGACCGCCUUAAGUCUCUCAGUGCUCAGGGACCCAAGAAAGGAAGAUGGGAAAGAAAAGAUGGCAGUGACAACCAUAAGCAAAAAAG